UACGUAGGGGGCAAGCGUUAUCCGGAUUUACUGGGCGUAAAGCGAGUUAAGGCGGUUGGCAAAGUUGGUUGUGAAAUCUCAGGGCUCAACCCUGAAAUUGCGACCAAUACUGGUCGACUAGAGUGCAGGAGAGGAAGGUGGAAUUCCCGGUGUAGUAGUGAAAUGCGUAGAUAUCGGGAGGAACACCAGUGGCGAAGGCGGCCUUCUGGCCUGCAACUGACGCUGUAGCUCGAAAGCGUGGGGAGCGAACCGG
rnacentral:rRNA from 1 species